ensembl:lncRNA
UCAUUUGCUGCAACUGUGAGCAACUUCUCAGUGUGUUGGAGGGACCAGGAGGGAAGUUUGAAAACGGCAAAGUAGGAAUAAAGGGAGCAGAAGAGUGAGGAGGUGCUAUUCAGAAGCUCCUUUUCCUGCAUCUUGCAGCUGCCUCUGAAGCUUCCCCUGGGCACAUCAUGCCACCAUGGGAACCAUGUGGUGGUCUCAUUACUCCAGAAUAGCUUGAAGGCAUCUAACACAGGCAUUGGGCAUGGGGCAACAGUCAUAGGACAGCCCCAGAGCUGUCUGCAUUCUCCAUUGGUUUGUCCCAGGGCAGCCGUGGCACUAGAGCACAAGGAUCCUCUUGCAGCAGUCGGUUCCUUUAAUGUCUUCUGUGCUCUCAGUUUCAGCAAGUUUUCUCCCCUGUUCUGCUUGAGAGCGAGCAAGUGGUUGUGUGGGUGUUUGCUUGUGGAGCCCCGUGACAGCUACACUGGAGAGGUAGUGCUCCUGUAUCCUGAUCCCUGACGGGAAGAAGGCCAGCCGUGUGCUGGCUCUCAUGCUGGUAAGUAUUGGGUUUCCCUGACUGCCAUUCAAAUCAGCAUACGAUGCUAGUUUCCCCCUUAUCGGUGGGCUUGGGUGAAGUCAACUUAAAUGCUUUUGGAAAGCAGUGAGGUCUACUGAUGGCUGCUUCCUUUAAAAUGGUAAUCAAAGGCUAUGUUACAGUUUUCUUUGCUAGGGUGGGUUAAAUUACCAGUCUCCUGGUCUGAGUGCUGCAUGGGGCAUCUGAUCAAAUAUUCCCUAAUUUUCAUCAUUCUUGUCAUCGCCUGUUGCUGGUUAUUUCCUAUGGUACUUUUGAAUUGUUGAGGUCCCUAAUCUCCAGGUGAAUAGUUUACUUCCUCUAAUCAUGCUUAAGGUCCGUCUGUUACCAGAAGCAAAACGUGUAACAGUGUACUACAGAAGCACAGAGACCAUAACUGUGCAAACGUUAAUGAUUUUUCUAAUAGACCAAGCACUAUAAUGUACAACUACAGUACACAAAUUUGCCCAGAUUAAAUAACGUACAGUUUUGGUAAGCUAGUAGAGAACCAUUCUAUUCCUGUUGUUUAUUAUUGAAUCAGUUAUUAACAACAUGUAAUUAACUGGGAAUCCAUUGAUGAUACCUUCAGAAGGAAAAUUAGUAAUGUGACAAAUAAACCUUGAAAUGUUAAGCA